CAGCCGCCGCGGUAAUACGUAGGUGGCAAGCGUUGUCCGGAAUUAUUGGGCGUAAAGGGUUCGCAGGCGGUUUCUUAAGUCUGAUGUGAAAGCCCCCGGCUCAACCGGGGAGGGUCAUUGGAAACUGGGAAACUUGAGUGCAGAAGAGGAGAGUGGAAUUCCACGUGUAGCGGUGAAAUGCGUAGAGAUGUGGAGGAACACCAGUGGCGAAGGCGACUCUCUGGUCUGUAACUGACGCUGAGGAGCGAAAGCGUGGGGAGCGAACAGGAUUAGAGACCCCGGUAGUCCCUGUCUCUUAUAC
rnacentral:rRNA from 1 species